GUGGGGAAUCUUCCGCAAUGGACGAAAGUCUGACGGAGCAACGCCGCGUGAGUGAAGAAGGUUUUCGGAUCGUAAAGCUCUUUCGUUAGGGACGAACGUGCUCUUUGUGAAUAAUGAGGAGUAAUGACGGUACCUAAAUAAGAAGCCACGGCUAACUACGUGCCAGCAGCCGCGGUAAUACGUAGGUGGCAAGCGUUGUCCGGAAUUAUUGGGCGUAAAGCGCGCGCAGGCGGGAUAUCAAGUCUGUCUUAAAAGUGCGAGGCUCAACCUCGUGAGGGGACAGAAACUGGUAUUCUUGAGUGUCGGAGAGGAAAGUGGAAUUCCUAGUGUAGCGGUGAAAUGCGUAGAUAUUAGGAGGAACACCAGUGGCGAAGGCGACUUUCUGGACUGUAACUGACGCUGAGGCUCGAAAGCCAGGGGAGCGAACGGGAUUAGAAACCCGGGUAGUCC
rnacentral:rRNA from 1 species